UAGCGCAACAGACUAAUUUCCAGCAUCUAGUUCAGGAGAAUGACUAUUCCGAUUCUUGAUGACACCAAGUUUUGGAUAGUGAGGUUUACAAGAAGCAGAUUUUUGACGAUGUACAGAUUGACCAUAUAUCUUUUGCUGGGAAUGUCAAUAAAAUUUUACAUUACAGUCGAGGGUUAUUAGUGAUAUGUAGUUUUUUUGCUAAGGGUUUAUGAACACAAUACUGUGACUCGCUUACAUUAUUGAUGUGCGGUGCAAGUAACUGUUGUUGAUCACUUUUGGUAAUUAUUUUAUGAAAGUAGUAUCAUCUUUAUAUUAA